AAAUUUAAUUGUGCAAUUCAGUUUAAUUUGAUAAUUAUUAUCUUACUUUUUGUUUUUUUUGUUAUU
rnacentral:tRNA from 1 species